GCUACGGGAGGCAGCAGUGAGGAAUAUUGGUCAAUGGACGAGAGUCUGAACCAGCCAAGUAGCGUGAAGGAUGACUGCCCUAUGGGUUGUAAACUUCUUUUAUAAAGGAAUAAAACGAGGCACGUGUGCCUUUUUUCAUGUACUUUAUGAAUAAGGAUCGGCUAACUCCUUGCCAGCAGCCGCGGUAAUACGGAGGAUCCGAGCGUUAUCCGGAUUUAUUGGGUUUAAAGGGAGCGUAGAUGGGUUGUUAAGUCAGUUGUGAAAGUUUGCGGCUCAACCGUAAAAUUGCAAUUGAUACUGGCAGUCUUGAGUACAGUUGAGGUAGGCGGAAUUCGUGGUGUAGCGGUGAAAUGCUUAGAUGUCACGAAGAACCCCGAUUGCGAAGGCAGCUUACUAAACUGUGACUGACAUUGAUGCUCGAAAGUGUGGGUAUCAAACAGGAUUAGAUACCCGUGUAGUC
rnacentral:rRNA from 1 species